rnacentral:misc_RNA from 1 species
GCACAAUACAACAAUUACUUGAGGGGCAUCAUAUGAAUUACAUUGAAUGUAUCCGUGUGGACUACAAAUCAACAAGAAAAGAAUCUUUUUAUGAUCUUCAGCUUGAUGUGAAAGGGUGUCGUGAUGUAUAUGCUUCAUUUGACAAGUAUGUUGAAGUGGAACGCCUCGAGGGCGACAACAAAUACCAAGCAGAACAACAUGGUUUACAGGAUGCUCGGAAAGGUGUCCUUUUCAUUGACUUCCCUCCUGUUCUUCAACUUCAGUUAAAACGCUUUGAAUACGAUUUUGUGCGGGAUGCUAUGAUCAAGAUAAAUGAUCGAUAUGAGUUCCCAUUGCAACUCGAUCUUGAUAGAGAGAAUGGAAAAUAUUUAUCUCCAGAUGCUGAUCGAAGUGUCCGCAAUCUCUAUUCUCUGCACAGUGUUUUAGUUCACAGCGGUGGGGUGCACGGGGGACACUAUUACGCAUAUAUCAGGCCUACACUGUCUGAUCAGUGGUAUAAAUUUGAUGAUGAGCGUGUGACAAAAGAAGAUACAAAGAGAGCACUGGAUGAACAAUACGGUGGUGAGGAAGAGUUACCCCACACAAAUCCUGGGUUCAAUAAUUC